UACGAAGGGGGCUAGCGUUGCUCGGAAUCACUGGGCGUAAAGCGCACGUAGGCGGACUCUUAAAGUCAGGGGGUGAAAUCCUGGAGCUCAACUCCAGAACUGCCUUUGAUACUGGGAGUCUUGAGUUCGGGAGAGGUGAGUGGAACUGCGAGUGUAGAGGUGAAAAUUCGUAGAUAUUCGCAAGAACACCAGUGGCGAAGGCGGCUCACUGGCCCGAUACUGACGCUGAGGUGCGAAAAGCGUGGGGAGCAAACGGGG
rnacentral:rRNA from 1 species